rnacentral:rRNA from 1 species
UCAGGAAUAUUGCGCAAUGGAGGAAACUCUGACGCAGCGACGCCGCGUGGGUGAUGAAGGCCUUCGGGUCGUAAAGCCCUGUCGGAGGGGAAGAAAAGUUUAUUGGCUAAUAUCCAAUGGACCUUUGACGGUACCCUCAAAGGAAGCACCGGCUAACUCCGUGCCAGCAGCCGCGGUAAGACGGAGGGUGCAAGCGUUGUUCGGAUUGACUGGGCGUAAAGGGCGUGUAGGCGGUUUGUCAAGUCGGGUGUGAAAGCCUGGGGCUCAGCCCCAGAAGUGCAUCCGAUACUAGCGAGCUAGAGCGCGAUAGAGGAGGGUGGAAUUCCUGGUGUAGCGGUGAAAUGCGUAGAUAUCAGGAGGAACACCGGCGGCGAAGGCGGCCCUCUGGAUCGUUGCUGACGCUGAGACGCGAAAGCGUGGGGAGCAAACAGGAUUAGAUACCCCGUAGUCC